rnacentral:rRNA from 1 species
UACGGAGGGUGCAAGCGUUAAUCGGAAUUACUGGGCGUAAAGCGCACGCAGGCGGUCUGUCAAGUCGGAUGUGAAAUCCCCGGGCUCAACCUGGGAACUGCAUUCGAAACUGGCAGGCUGGAGUCUUGUAGAGGGGGGUAGAAUUCCAGGUGUAGCGGUGAAAUGCGUAGAGAUCUGGAGGAAUACCGGUGGCGAAGGCGGCCCCCUGGACAAAGACUGACGCUCAGGUGCGAAAGCGUGGGGAGCAAACAGGAUUAGAUACCCUGGUAGUCCACGCUGUAAACGAUGUCGACUUGGAGGUUGUUCCCUUGAGGAGUGGCUUCCGGAGCUAACGCGUUAAGUCGACCGCCUGGGGAGUACGGCCGCAAGGUUAAA